rnacentral:piRNA from 1 species
UAGAAACCAAAUCCAUGUAGGAGGUUUC